AGUUGGAAAGCGUGCCCGCAGCUGCGGAGGCAGCAGGGCAAUCUCUAUUGAUAUUUUAGCAUCAUGUUCUGCCUUGGAAGAGUGGCAAAGAUUUAGCCACAAGUGCUGACCCUGGACCAGGAUCCAGCUGAUGGAGAGCAGCAAGGGGGGUGAGCCUGACGAUCCUGAGUGAGCAUCUGCUUAAAGUGAGGCACUACGGAGACUAUUACUGCAAUUGUGGAAUCCAACCAGUUUAAGAGAGCAGCUUCGGACCCACUUCCAAACUCCAUCUUCCAGGUGAAGGGGAGGGGGGAAUAGGAGACGCAUGUGGUGAGGGGCAUUUUGAAGUUACACAGCCCGGGUCCCACCUCUCAUUAGCUCACUGCCGCUGGCAAGACACUUGCCUUCCCGAUGCCUCAGCUUCCCCACGUGUAAAACAGGGAUGAUGACGACACCUGCGCCUGUGUGAGCCUGUUUCCUCAUCGUGAAAUGUGGGGUAAUGAUAUCUAUUUCGUGGAGCGUGGUGAGGAGAAAGAGAUGUAAUGCAUGUGAAAGAAGUUGGCUGGGCCACAGCAACCCCUUACAAAAUGCUGCCUUUUCUAAUUUUAUCCUCUCUCCAGCUUCUGUGAUUGAGCCGUACUUGGAAGUAUUUGCCUCAUUUUACAGGCAAGGAAAUGAUGCUCAGAGAAGUUGGAGAGUUUGUCCAAGUCUCCUCUCUCUCUCAUACACACACUCUUCUCAAUCAGGGAAGCAAGGAUAAAAACCCCACCGUUUCUGCUUCCAGAUCAUCCCUGCAAGAAACAGCACCAAGACUCCAACCCAGUUCCAAACUUCAGCUCUGAAAUUUUGUGCAUCUAUCUAUAGCGAUGUCGGUCAGCACUAGGGGGACCCUCAUAAGGCAUUUUAAGACCUAUAAACAGGGCUUCCCUGGUGGCGCAGUGGUUGGGAGUCCGCCUGCCGAUGCAGGGGACACGGGUUCGUGCCCCGGUCCGGGAAGAUCCCACAUGCCGCAGAGUGGCUGGGCCCGUGAGCCAUGGCCGCUGAGCCUGCGCGUCCGGAGCCUGUGCUCUGCAACGGGAGAGGCCACAAUAAUGAGAGGCCCGCGUAGGAAAAAAAAAAAAAAGACCUAUAAACAAAUUGUGGAAAAAUCAUCUUUGUCUGGGACUAUUGAUCACCUUCUUUCUGCAACCCAAGCUAAGGAUUCUUACACAGUUUUUCUCAGGUCUUUGUUUUACAAACUAUCCCUUCAGCCUUAGUGCUAUUUGUCAUGUAGACUCUCAUAUGAGCCACAGAUAAGGAUGAUGAUGAUGGUGGUGAUGGUGAUGUUGAUGAUGAUGACGGUAGCUAAUUUUUUUUGUGUGUGUGGUGUAUGCGGGCCUCUCACUGUUGUGGCCUCCCCCGUUGCAGGGUGCAUUUUGGUGAUAAUUCCUGGGUUCAGAUCUGAGCUCCGCUGCUCCAAUUGCUGUGUGACCUUGGGCAAGUACCUUGAUGUCUCUGAGCCUC